GCGGCAAUAGCUCAGUUGGUAGAGCGCAACCUUGCCAAGGUUGAGGUCGCGGGUCCGAGUCCCGUUUGCCGCUCAA
rnacentral:tRNA from 1 species